rnacentral:rRNA from 1 species
UGGGGAAUUUUGGACAAUGGGCGCAAGCCUGAUCUAGCCAUGCCGCGUGAGUGAUGAAGGCCUUAGGGUCGUAAAGCUCUUUCGCUGGGGAAGAUAAUGACUGUACCCAGUAAAGAAACCCCGGCUAACUCCGUGCCAGCAGCCGCGGUAAUACGGGGGUUGCAAGCGUUGUUCGAAAUUACUGGGCGUAAAGCGCGCGUAGGCGGUUUGGUAAGUCCUGUGUGAAAUCCUUCGGCUUAACCGGAGACAGUCACAGGAUACUGCUAAGCUAGAGUGUGAGAGGGGAGAGCGGAAUUCCGAGUGUAGUGGUGAAAAUACGUAGAUAUUCGGAGGAACACCGGCGGCGAAAAGCGGCUCUCUGGCUCACAACUGACGCUGAGGUGCGAAAGCGUGGGUAGCAAACAGGAUUAGAUACC